rnacentral:tRNA from 1 species
GCUCCCUUAGCUCAGUUGGUAGAGAGCAUCCGGCUCAUAACCGGGAGGUCGCUGGUUCAAGCCCAGCAGGGAGCA